rnacentral:rRNA from 1 species
GCCGAGGGAUUGGCCCGCGUCCGAUUAGCUAGUUGGUGAGGUAACGGCUCACCAAGGCGACGAUCGGUAGCUGGUCUGAGAGGAUGAUCAGCCACAUUGGGACUGAGACACGGCCCAAACUCCUACGGGAGGCAGCAGUGGGGAAUAUUGGACAAUGGGCGAAAGCCUGAUCCAGCCAUGCCGCGUGAGUGAUGACGGCCUUAGGGUUGUAAAGCUCUUUCGUCAGGGACGAUAAUGACGGUACCUGAAGAAGAAGCCCCGGCUAACUUCGUGCCAGCAGCCGCGGUAAUACGAAGGGGGCUAGCGUUGUUCGGAAUUACUGGGCGUAAAGCGCGUGUAGGCGGGUCUUUAAGUCAGGGGUGAAAUGCCAGGGCUCAACCUUGGAACUGCCCUUUGAUACGGAGAUCUUGAGUCCCGGAGAAGUGAGUGGAACUGCGAA